GAACAGUUUUAAGCGCCAUGCACCUUCUGGCACGGAACCUGACUUAUCGAACAGAUAACGAAGAGCAGAAGGUUAACGAGGUGGAAAGUGAUCGAAGAUUCGGCGGAUGCUUUCCCGUGGCUUUGGACACGUGAUGUACAGAAAAAAACUGUGAGUAAUCGCAGAACAAAGGCUGUACAGCCAAAGAUA
rnacentral:ncRNA from 2 species